rnacentral:rRNA from 1 species
GGCAAACGGGUGCGUAACGCGUAAGCAACCUGCCUCAUACUGGGGGAUAGCCCGGCGAAAGCUGGGGUAAACCCGCACGGUCCCACGUUGUCACCUGGUGAUGUGGGUAAAACAUUUAUGGGUAUGAGAGGGGCUUGCGUCUGAUUAGUUAGUUGGCAGGGUAACGGCCUACCAAGACAGUGAUCAGUAGGGGUUCUGAGAGGAUUGGCCCCCACAUGGGUACUGAGAUACGGACCCA